UAGUCAGGAAUCCCGUGGAACCAGUCAGACAUCAAACAACACUGUCUAAUAAUAUGAAUUAAUAAAAUGAAAUAAAUGAAACCAAAAUCGGAUCAGGACAACAAGGCGACUAAUAGAAAGAUAAUAUGAAAUGUGAGCCCGACAUAAUGCGUGACAUAGUAAAUAACAUGACAAACGCGGUCAAUAAAAUAAAUCGCAAAAUUUAAACAUUAUACUGCCGUACCGUUUGCAAACAACCCCGACAAAUUACAUCGAUACGACAGGACCACCAAGAAGGUUGAAUCAACCAAUUAAUUCAAUUUAUAAAUAAAAUACGAAGGCAAAGCAAUAAUAUCCGGGAAAAAGUGAAACCAGCAUAAUAAGCAAAAUAAAUAAAAUAAAUAAAAUAAAAUAAAAUAAUGCAAUAAUGCAACGAACAAGGCCAAAACGUCCAAAUGUAACUAACAAAAUCAUUCAUCCCAUUGAAAUAGCGUAUCAUCAAUUAAUAAUAAGAAUAAAUCUAUUUAGCCAACUUAUUCAUUCAAUUCUAAUAAUUUGCUAAUUACCAAUAAUAAACAAAAUAUUAUAUUAUAUCUAUAAGGAAGUUGCCAAUAAUGCCAAUAAUAUUAUAAUGCAGUAAUAUAAAUAGCUGAAUGUGAGUUAACGUAGACUAAAUUGAAUAAAUUGUGUGAUCCCUACAGUGAAACAGGUCGCAAACAUGCGUAAUAGCCAUGAGUGUGACAAAAGCGCACCUUAUAAUAAAGCAUAGCCAGACAACUGCAGUAUUAAAACAUUCAUUGAAACAAUCAUUGAACCGCAGAAACUUUACACCAUGCCAACAGACACAGGGCAUUGUAAAGAAUAGAAUUACAAUUACAAGUUUCACAAAGUUACAUCAAUAGAAAAGAAGGAAAGUAAACUAGCAAUUCAAGAAGACAAUGAUGAAUGAAUGAUGAUUGAAUGAUGAAUGAAUGAUGAAUGAAUGAAUGAAUGAAUGAAUGAAUGAAUGAAUCAAGGAAGAGCGAACAACAGAACACCAGCAAGUAUGGGUAAGAAACAUAACCCUAACAUUGGGCAAGAUAGGAGGAAAAAACCCUCCUGCAGAACGCCAUCUUGGGCUUCGCCCAAGAAAAGUCAAAAGAAAAAAAAAUAAAAUAACCCUAACAUAACCCUAAUGUGUCAGAGCCACAAAGUGUCAAAACUAGCAUGCAAGGAGUCGCUAAAGGAAUUAUCAAUUAAGAGAGCUGAAUUGCAACUCAAAAGGAAGAAAAGAAAAGAAAAGAAAAGGAAAGAAAGGAAACAAGACUCAGCACAGCGUCACACCAUCACGAGAGAGCCAUACCAUUACCAGAGAGAGACGUCAUGAAUAAAUUGAAUUAAAGAAUAUCAAAGAAGAACAUCAAAAUGUCCAAUGAAUAUCCAAGGAUGUACAGGCGACAAAACAAGAAUCAAGAAGUCAAAAGGCGAUAAUGGAAUAAAUAGCGAUAACAGUGAUAACGUGGCAGAAUAAAAUAAAAUAUAAAAUAACCGAAUGGAAGCAACCAUAAAUAUAUAAACAUAUUAAUAUUAAUAUCAUCCACAACACAUUGUACCAUCAUGAAUAUAAAAAUAAGCUAAAUCAUAUCAAUUACUUUAAUUCAAUUUGAUUUGAUUAAGAAUGAAUGAAAGAAAGAAUGAGUGACAGAACAGUGAAGUAAUUAAUUAAAGAUAUUAAGGAAGAAUGAGAUAAUAGUAAGGCAUAAAGUAUAAAGUGAAAGCCAUAACCAAGAACAUAAUGUAAAAGAAUGUAAUGUAAUGCAGUGUAAUGCAAUGCAAUGUAGUGUAAUGUAGUGUAAUGUGAAGAAAAUGAAAAAUAAUAAAUAAAAUACCAAAUAUAGGAAUUGAACUGAACAGAAUAUACUGUAACCGCCAAAAUUACUAUUCACAACUACACAGCUAUCCACAACUAUUUCUUAACCAAAGUAGAUUAUAAGCUAAAUUAUAAAUAGUAAAUGAUAAAUGAUCGUGUCAAUGCAAAUGCAAAAGGAAUCGAUUAUUGAAUGACGUAUCAAGAUAGGUAAC